rnacentral:rRNA from 1 species
UGGGGAAUAUUGGACAAUGGGCGCAAGCCUGAUCCAGCCAUGCCGCGUGAGUGAUGAAGGCCUUAGGGUUGUAAAGCUCUUUCGUCCGGGACGAUAAUGACGGUACCGGAAGAAGAAGCCCCGGCUAACUUCGUGCCAGCAGCCGCGGUAAUACGAAGGGGGCUAGCGUUGUUCGGAAUCACUGGGCGUAAAGGGCGCGUAGGCGGCUUGAUAAGUCGGGGGUGAAAGCCUGUGGCUCAACCACAGAAUUGCCUUCGAUACUGUCUGGCUUGAGACCGGAAGAGGUAAGUGGAACUGCGAGUGUAGAGGUGAAAUUCGUAGAUAUUCGCAAGAACACCAGUGGCGAAGGCGGCUUACUGGUCCGGUUCUGACGCUGAGGCGCGAAAGCGUGGGGAGCAAACAGG